UAGUCCACGCUGUAAACGAUGAUUACUCGGUGCUGGCGAUACACAGUCAGUGCCUAAGCGAAAGUGAUAAGUAAUCCACCUGGGGAGUACGAUCGCAAGGUUGAAACUCAAAGGAAUUGACGGGGGCCCGCACAAGCGGUGGAGCAUGUGGUUUAAUUCGAUGAUACGCGAGGAACCUUACCUGGGCUUAAAUGCAUAAUGACAGGCUGAGAAAUCAGUCCUUCUUCGGACAGAAUGCAAGGUGCUGCAUGGCUGUCGUCAGCUCGUGCUGUGAGGUGUCGGGUUAAGUCCCAUAACGAGCGCAACCCCUAUUGUUAGUUGCCAACAGGUUAAGCUGGGGACUCUAGCAAGACUGCCGGCGUAAGCCGCGAGGAAGGUGGGGACGACGUCAAAUCAUCAUGGCCUUUAUGCCUAGGGCGACACACGUGCUACAAUGGUGCAUACAGAGGGUUGCGAAGCCGCGAGGUGGAGCGUAAU
rnacentral:rRNA from 1 species